rnacentral:rRNA from 1 species
GACGAACGCUGGCGGCGUGCUUAACACAUGCAAGUCGAACGGAAAGGCCCUGCUUUUGUGGGGUGCUCGAGUGGCGAACGGGUGAGUAACACGUGAGUAACCUGUCCCUGACUUUGGGAUAACUUCAGGAAACUGGGGCUAAUACCGGAUAGGAGCUCCUGCUGCAUGGUGGGGGUUGGAAAGUUUCGGCGGUUGGGGAUGGACUCGCGGCUUAUCAGCUUGUUGGUGGGGUAGUGGCUUACCAAGGCUUUGACGGGUAGCCGGCCUGGGAGGGUGACCGGCCACAUUGGGACUGAGAUACGACCCGGACUCCUACGGGAGGCAGCGGUGGGGAAUAGUGCACAAUGGGCGGAAGCCUGGUGCAGCAACGCCGCGUGGGGGAUGACGGCCUUCGGGUUGUAAACCGCUUUCGCCUGUGACGAAGCGUGAGUGACGGUAAUGGGUAAAGAAGCACCGGCUAACUACGUG